GACGAACGCUGGCGGCGUGCUUAACACAUGCAAGUCGAACGGAGUGGCGAACGGGUGAGUAACACGUGGGUGACAUGCCCUGCACUUCGGGAUAAGCCUGGGAAACUGGGUCUAAUACCGGAUAGUGUGGGAUGGGCCCGCGGCCUAUCAGCUUGUUGGUGGGGUAAUGGCCUACCAAGGCGGCGACGGGUAGCAGGCCUGAGAGGGUGGACGGGCACAUUGGGACAGGGACACGGGCCAGACUCCUAUGGGGGGAAGCAGUUGGGAAUAUUGCACAAUGGGCGGAAGGAUGAUGCAGGGACGCCGGGUGGGGGAUGACUGCCGUCGGGUUAUAAACUCCUUUCUCCAUCGACGCGGUAGAUGGAGAUGAAGCACCGGCUAACUACGGGCAAGAAGCCGGGUAAUAC
rnacentral:rRNA from 1 species